UAUAAGUAUAGUCGACUCAAAAUUGGUACAAACAAGGGGAAUUUGACUGUUUAAUUAAAAUAAAGCAUUGUGAUGGACCCUGCAGAUGCCGACACAAUGUGAUUUAUUCCCAGUGCUCUGCAUGUCAAAGUGAAUAAAUUCAACCAAGCAUGGGUAAAUAGAGGGAGUAACUAUGACUCUCUUAAGGUAGCCAAAUGCCUCAUCAUCUAAUUAGUGAUGUGCAUGAAUGGAUUAAUGAGAUCCCCACUGUCCCUAUAUACUAUCUAGAGAAACCACAACCAAGGGAACGUGCUUGGCAUAAUCGGUGGGGAAAGAAGACCCUGUUGAGCUUGACUCUAGUCUGAAUUUGUGAAAUGACUUUAGAGGUGUAGUAUAAGUGGGAGUCGUUUUUCGGUGCAAGUGAAAUACCACUACUUUUAACGUUAUUUUACUUAUUCUGUGGGGCGUAGACGAGGCAUUUCCCCUGUUUUUUUCCAGAAGACAUGUUUCGACAGGUCGAUCUGGGCAGAAGACAUUGUCAAGUGGGAAGUUUGGUUGGGGAGGCAUAUCUUUUAAAAGAUAAUGCAUGUUUCCUAAGAUGAGCUCAACGAGAAAAAAAAUAUCGUGUGGAACAAAAGGGUAAAAUCGCAUUUGUUUUUCCACCAACGUCUUGAUCCUUAUAAUUCAUUGAUGGAUAUGAAUUAAUACAUCAAUUAGAUGUUUUCAUGCAUCAACAUAGUUAAUUUAAAAUACUAAUUGCUUGAGU
rfam:Picea glauca, whole genome shotgun sequence.